rnacentral:lncRNA from 1 species
AGGGGGUGGGGAUGACCCCCAGGGCUAAAAUGUAUAUUGCAUACAACUGGUCUUGUAACCAUGAGUAGUACAAUAUAUGGUUAAGGGGUGGGAUUCCAACCAUUUUCAGAUAAAGUAAGAUUUCUGAUCUUGAGGGGGUGGGGAUGACCCCCAGGGCUAAAAUGUAUAUUGCAUACAUCUGGUCUUGUAACCAUGAGUAGUACAAUAUAUGGUUAAGGGGUGGGAUUCCGACCAUUUUCAGAUAAAAUAAGGUUUCUGAUCUUG